AUUCAACUGACGAGUCCCAAAUAGGACGAAAUGCGCCUUAUCCUGGAU
rnacentral:hammerhead_ribozyme from 1 species